rnacentral:lncRNA from 1 species
GCACUACAUCAAAUUGACAGCACAGCCAAAAACCCCAUUUCUGUACAGAUUGGGAGAUCAUAUAAGUUUCAGGAUUGUAUUUCCUAAUGCCUGUCUUUUUGGAUGGAUCAGAGGGCCUCUGAAAACAAUCAGAAGGGAAAAUGAAAUAAAUAUAACAAACAUGAAAACUACCAGAGAUUUGGGCCUGUGUAGCUUUCUCCCUACCUAG